AACACAUGCAAGUCGAGCGGCAGCACGGGGAGCUUGCUNCCUGGUGGCGAGCGGCGGACGGGUGAGUAAUGCAUAGGAAUCUGCCCGGUAGUGGGGGGAUAACGUGGGGAAACCCACGCUAAUACCGCAUACGUCNUACGGGAGAAAGCGGAGGAUCUUCGGACUUCGCGCUAUCGGAUGAGCCUAUGUCGGAUUAGCUAGUUGGUAAGGUAACGGCUUACCAAGGCAACGAUCCGUAGCUGGUCUGAGAGGAUGAUCAGCCACACUGGGACUGAGACACGGCCCAGACUCCUACGGGAGGCAGCAGUGGGGAAUAUUGGACAAUGGGCGAAAGCCUGAUCCAGCCAUGCCGCGUGUGUGAAGAAGGCUUUCGGGUUGUAAAGCACUUUCAGCGAGGAAGAAGGCCUCUGGGUUAAUACCCCAGAGGAAGGACAUCACUCGCAGAAGAAGCACCGGCUAACUCCGUGCCAGCAGCCGCGGUAAUACGGAGGGUGCGAGCGUUAAUCGGAAUUACUGGGCGUAAAGCGCGCGUAGGUGGCUUGGCACGCCGGUUGUGAAAGCCCCGGGCUCAACCUGGGAACUGCAUCCGGAACGGCCAGGCUAGAGUGCAGGAGAGGAAGGUAGAAUUCCCGGUGUAGCGGUGAAAUGCGUAGAGAUCGGGAGGAAUACCAGUGGCGAAGGCGGCCUUCUGGCCUGACACUGACACUGAGGUGCGAAAGCGUGGGUAGCAAACAGGAUUAGAUACCCUGGUAGUCCACGCCGUAAACGAUGUCGACUAGCCGUUGGGNCCUUUAAGGACUUAG
rnacentral:rRNA from 1 species